GAUGAACGCUGGCGGCGUGCCUAAUACAUGCAAGUCGAACGAAUCUUCUUCGGAAGAUGAGUGGCGAACGGGUGAGUAAUACAUAGGUAACCUGCCCCUGUGCGGGGGAUAACAGGAGGAAACUCCUGCUAAUACCGCAUAGCCAUGAGCACCGCAUGGAGCUCAUGCCAAAUAUCCUUUCGGGGAUAGCGCAGGGAUGGACCUAUGGCGCGUUAGCUGGUUGGCGGGGCAACGGCCCACCAAGGCAACGAUGCGUAGCCGGCCUGAGAGGGCGGACGGCCACAUUGGGACUGAGACACGGCCCAGACUCCUACGGGAGGCAGCAGUAGGGAAUUUUCGGCAAUGGGGGAAACCCUGACCGAGCAACGCCGCGUGAGCGAAGAAGCCCUUCGGGUCGUAAAGCUCUGUUGUAAAGGAAGAACGGCGCAUACAGGAAAUGGUAUGCGAGUGACGGUACUUUACCAGAAAGCCACGGCUAACUACGUGCCAGCCGCCGCAGUAA
rnacentral:rRNA from 1 species